GCUGGCAGCCUGGGCUCUUGGAGAUUGUAUCUGGUGCCGGAGAGGACUGGCUCCCACACUCAGUGAGGGAGGAAUUUUACUGACCCAGCAUCCAGAUGAACUUUGGUGAGGAGAGGAGGACAUAAGAGCCUGGUGGUUGAUGAUGGAAGAGAUGAAACUGUGAAGAGACCGAAGAAGCUAAUCUAUCAAUAGUUAAGAUUCCAUUUCUAAAAGAUCUUACUUUGAGUCUACCUAUGCCUGGGAUGUCAAGAGGUGCUGAGGAUUGAUUGGUGAAGACAGAGAGGGUCUUGGUUCUAACUGAGCUCACAUUCUAAAAGAGAAAAUAGAAAAUAAACACGAAAAACGAAUGGGAUCACUUCAGAAAUUGAAAAGACGGAGUUUCACUGUUGUUGCCCAGGCUGGAGUGCAGU
rnacentral:lncRNA from 1 species